AACCGGCUAAAUUCCCUAGAGUUGCCUUGUUUAGCUCACCUCGUGAGAGACACAUUCCAGGGAGCGGAGCUCGCUGCAGUACCGGCAGAAAUAGAGCUGAGAGAGAGGAGCUCGAAUAGGCUUUUCGCCGUAAACUAGGUGGCUUUCUACCAAACUGAGAGAUUUGGGAGUCCCUUGUUUGUAAAGGAAGGAGGUAGUGAAGUUUCCCCUCCCUGCAAAGUCAGACACAUCCCCUUUGUGAUAAAGCCAGUGAGAGAAGCAUUUUGCUAAUGCGAGGAUUGCUGCAAGGCAUAUUAGUGUGCUAACAUUGUGUCUGGGCUUUGUGCAGCCACUCCUGAAUACAGCCGCUCCUUACCACUUCUACGAUCAAUGGAGCAACAUUGAGAAGGAACAAUUUUGUGGAUUGGAAAACGAAAAUGAGUGACCUUGUCACCCCCUCGCCAGUAGAACUUCCCAAGCAUAUCCUUGAUGUCUGGGUCAUAGUCCUCAUCAUACUGGCCACCAUUGUGGUCAUGACCUCCUUGUUGCUCUUGCCUGCAGCAGCUGUUGUUAUGUACAGAGUACGGACACACCCAAUCCAAAGCACCAGGUAGCGCUGUGGGAACAGCACCAACAAUUUGUUGGACUAAGAAAAGACAAAUCCUUGUCACGUCAAGAUCUUAAAUCUCAAUUUCAGGUUUUUUUUAUAGAAUGGACAAAGGAAAUAAGAUUAUAGAGACUGCAUAUAUUGGCGUGGUUGGAUGAAGAAGCAUGACCCCUCCAAGGUUAAAAUAUCCCUGGAAAUCAAAUAAUUUGUUUUAUGGAAACCACAGAGAGCACAUUUCCAGUUUGAACGGGUCCUGAGACAAUUGUUUAGCCUGCGGUUGUGCAAGAAAGAAGAGGAAGUAUUGAAAGAGAAAGAGAAAAUGAUUUAUCUUUUUCCAGCUCCAGAUAACCAGAUCCUGUAAUUUCACAUGCUUUAUUUUUAGGGAAUAUUUGUAUGUCUUGGACAACUCCCCACCAUUCAAAGUGAAUUGGAAUGCACCACUUUGCACAAGAUCAUGUCGUGUAUUAUUAAGGAAUAUAGAGCUGUGAAUGGCAAGCAAUAUAUACACUGCCCUAGAAUGAAUGUGCCCUUUCAAAUAACAGUGAACUGCAAGCAGCUCUGGCAUGAAAAUAAAAAGUAUUCUGUAACAUUCACAGUGUGUAUAACUACAAAUAAGUAGAGCUACUUUACUGGUGUAGGUGCUACAUUGCACAAGUGCAGCUGCCCACAGCCAUUAGUUUUGACUAGUUUGCUGCCAGUAAGAAAAUUAAAGCAAAUAACUGAUUGGUUGCUAUGAGCAACUGCCCUAGUGCAACUGAGCACUUGUCUUUGUUAAUCAUCCUUGGUGUCCGUUAUAACAGAAAGCUCUUAUUGCAAUGCAGAUGGAAAAAUACUACAUUGCACAGUACAUUACUGAGGAAAAGUAAUUGAGAAAAUAUUUCAAUAAAAAAUCCUGUGUAUGUUAA